CGCGUAGGCGGAUCAGUCAGUCAGGGGUGAAAUCCCGGGGCUCAACCCCGGAACUGCCUUUGAUACUGCUGGUCUAGAGGUCGAGAGAGGUGAGUGGAAUUCCGAGUGUAGAGGUGAAAUUCGUAGAUAUUCGGAGGAACACCAGUGGCGAAGGCGGCUCACUGGCUCGAUACUGACGCUGAGGUGCGAAAGCGUGGGGAGCAAACA
rnacentral:rRNA from 1 species